rnacentral:lncRNA from 10 species
UUUUCAUAAAGUUAAAUCCCUUUAAUUUAAAAAAAAAACAGCUUUUUUGGUUGACUUUUCCCCUCUCUUUUCUAAAAUAAGGGUGAUCUUAUCCAGUGGUUCUUAUUUUAUAUUCUUAAUUUAGCAAGAUAAAAAUGUGAGCAGCUGCACGCCAGCCCCCAAACUCUAGGGGAGGUUUUUCUGGUUCAGACUGUCUCAGGUUCGAGCCUCCUUAGGGCACCCCCUUUCCGUCCACCUUAGCCUGGAACUGAGACUUCUUUUUCUUUUGUAUCUGUCCUUCUCAGAUCUCAUAUUUGUAUUUUCCAAAACAAUCUAGUUGAAGAAAUCCUAUUUGGUAUGUUUGAAAUCUUUAUGCUCCCAGCUCAAACUCUGGAUUAACAACAAAACAGAGGAAAACUCUUUUUCUUAUUCAGCAGUCAAACUUCAAGGCAACUUCAGCCCUGGGAACUCAGCCAGUUGCUGGGAAGUAAAGGAAUCAAAGGCUUCUAAACAGUAAAAAAUGUCUUUAGAGCUCGGCUCAGAGGGAGCUUUGGCCUUCCUGCAAAUUAAGAAUAAUGAUUUGGUGAGCUUGUUUAUCUCCCCUCCACCAGCAAGGCUUGGUCUCCCCAGGGGUAACCGGCUGCAGAUUCAAGAGGAAGCUGGGAGGGCUGUCUGGGGCUGGAGAAGGAGGCAGCUCCAACACGCCGCGGUCAGGCAGUGUGGGGACAAAGAGGUCUCCUUACUUCCACAGCACCGAGUCAUCGAAGUUUACAAGACACUUCUACGUUGAUCUGGAAAAAGGAGGUGUUCCUAGUACAUCUUAGAAAGAUUUCCAUAAAACGGGCUAAAAAGCAAUCAUAAAACCACAACAAAACACAAACAGGCAAGGGAAAGGAUAAACUUCCAUCACCUGGAAGCCUCAGAGACAGGAGAGGGUACACAGGUGAGAGCCUUGGCUGGGUGGGAGGUAGGAGUCAGACCGGACCCUCUGCAGAAUUAGCAGUGGUGUGCGCUCACCUCUGGAGCUGCUCCUCUGAGAUGGGCCUGGCCCCCUAGAUAAUUGGAGGGUCCUGCAUCUCAUGGCAGUUUCCACCAUGCCCUGCUGCAGCUCGCACCCAGAGCCCUCUGAUCACGGGAGUGGGCAGCUGCCAUUUACUGCUGCACCAUUCUGACCAUGUGCCCCACGUUAUUUCAUGUAGCCCUCACUACUGCUGUGUCCAGGAGGCUCAGAGAGGUCAAGUUACUUACCUAAGGUCACACAGCUGGUAUGUGCCAGAGCUGGGAAGAGAACGUGCACUUGUAUGACUCCGGGAUGUUGGCUUUCUGCCUUGACGCCCCAGCCUCUUCAGCUGUGGCUGGUGGCAGGUCCUGGGCCUCUAGCGAGGACGUGCCUGGCUGUGGGCCCAGCCUGGGAUUGACCUCACACCCUCUCUCACACCUGGGGCUUCACUGACAGCGGCGGGCACAGUGCCUUCCUUUCUCUUUCCCUAGACACCAGCUCUGACCCUCCAAUUUCCACCAUGAUCACAGUGUUCUCAGAGUCAGGCAGCAUAUGAGGAAAAUUGCCCUUUCCCUGGAAUAAUUUACCAUCUUGUAAUUUCCAUUACCUGACCCUGUUGGAGCCUAUUCCGUGCUGAGCUGUUUGAAUUUCCAGCUUGGAAAUCCCCAGGCUGGGCGGGAAAUGCUGUUUCCUGAGGGAGGAGCAGACGAGGGAGGUGCUGCCUGCAGGCUUGGCGGAGGGUCAGGGGGUGUUUGGGACAGGGACACAGUGGGGAGGGGGCUGAGAACAGCAACCAGGCAGCAUUUGUGAUUCUUCUGAAUCCAGAGGGGCUUGUGUGAUGAAAUUCCACAGGGCUCUGCCAGGCUGAUACGUGGGAAGGGUGGCAGAGGGCUACUGCGACCUACAGGCAGGGGGUGGUCCUAGGCAGGCAAAGGCAUUGGUAGGAAUGCAGAGAGGGCUACAGAAAGCAAGGGGACUCCUGGGCCAGGCCCUGGACCGGGGCACAGAGUAAGGCUGUUGAGGGUGUUGAUUUCAGUUUUUGACAAGUCGAGGAUCCUCCGGAUACCACGUGACAACACACAGCUUAAGAGCACGGGCCUUGGGCUCAAAUCCUCGCUCUGUCACUCGCUGGCAGUGUGGUCCUGUGCAAGUUGACGGACUUCUCUCAGCCUCAGUUUCCUCCUCUGUGAAGUGGAGGGAAUGGUGUCCACCCCCCAUUAUUCCUUUAAUGUGAGCGCUAACUCAGGGCAAGUGUGUAAAGACCCAGUCUGGCCUCCAGCUGGGGUCCAUCUGACCCAGGUGGUGGCUGUUUACAGGGAUCAACUCUCCCCAGUUUGCUGGGAACUUUCCUGGUUUUAGCCCUGAAAGUCCCGCAUCUUGUGAAACCCGUUGGUCCUGGAAAACCUGGAUGGUUGCUCACUCUGCCUGUGGUCUCCCGCUCCUCAUUGCACUAAAAGUGCCAGGUCAUGUCUGUGUCCUGGGGAAGGCCGAAGCCCUUGCUAAGGUUUCUGUAAUAUCACCUGUGGCUCUGAGGCCUGCUUUGGCUGAGUUAAUUCGGUGUUGAGGUCGGUACGUGUGCUUGCACACGUUUCUGAACCACAGAGACUCAGAUGUGACAUUCAGCCCCCAUUCCCCCCAGAUCCACAGGCACAAAGCACCUGGGUGUGGGAGACACCGCAGACGUCUGGGGUGGGAUGGGGGCGCUGAGAUCACCGUAGUGCAAUCCACAGGCACAAGGCACCUGGGUGUGGGAGACACCGCAGACGUCUGGGGUGGGAUGGGGGCGCUGAGAUCACCGUAGUGCAAUCCACAGGCACAAGGCACCUGGGUGUGGGAGACACCGCAGACGUUUGGGGUGGGAUGGGGGCGCUGAGAUCACUGUAGUGCAAACAGCAUCAAAUGGAACAUGACACACAACUCCUUUGGCCGCCCCCUGAAAGUGUGGGGGAUGCAGGGGUGGAAGGGAGCUUCACUCAGGGACCUCCUGCCUCAACCCCUCACUCUGACCUCUGCUCUUUCCUCUAAAUUUUGUUCGUUUCUAACGUCUCUUUUGUGGCCUUGGCCCCGGGUUGAAAUGUGCCCUUUAAAAGCAUUUUUCCUAAACGAAGACAAUUCCUCUCCAAGAGGAGCUGUUCCCUCCCCAGCUGUUCAGAAAAUCCAGGUGUGUUUCCACCUGCAACAAUGCCGAGCUGUCAGCUUAGACUUGGAAGGCGCUAAGAGCUGGGGAAGGCCACAUUUGGGGUCUGGUUCCAGGCCUUGCGGGUCACCAUCCCUGGCUGUAUUAGUCCUUUCCUGCACUGCUAUAAAGUACCCAAGGCUGGGUAAUUGAUAAAGAAAAGCAAAGUAAUGGGCUCACGGUUCCUCAGGCUGUACAGGAAGCUUGAUGCUGGCAUGUGCUCAGCUUCUGAGGAGGCCUCAAGAAACUUACAAUCAUGGCAGAAGGCUAAGGGGGAGCAGGCAUGCCACACGGUCAGCGCAGCAGCAAGAGAGUGAGGCGGGAGGUGCUACCCACUUGUAAAUGGCCGAGCUCGUGAGGACUCACCAAGGCGGACGGUGCUCAACCAGUCAUGGGAAAACCGCCCCCGUGAUCUAGUCGCUUCCCACCAGGCGCCACCUCCAACGCUGAGGGUUACAAUUCGACAUGACACGCGGGGGGGACACAGAUCCAAACCACGUCAUCAGCUCUUUCAGAGGGAGAUGGCUCUGGACCCCACUUUAGAGUCUGGCUGAUUUGCUCUCCCAGGUGCGCCUGGCACAGCUCUCAGGUUCUGCAGGAGCCGCUGGGCUUGGACGAAGGGCCCUCCCGCAGUGUGAGGAGCCUGGCGACCUGGCCCGGUCUCACCCCACAGCCUAGGGCAGAGAUGCCACAAAGUCACAGACUUUCAGGGCCAAGAGACCCUGGAGUGCGUCUGACUCGGCCUCGUGUUUCACAGGGAAUCUGAGGCCCGCACUGGCCAAGUGACCUGUCUGUACUUACACACUCUGGAGGCAGCAGAGUGGAGGAGAGUGGUGCUAUGGCCUGAGUGAUUUAUUUUAGAAUACAGUCAUGCAUUGUAUAACGAAGUUUGUCAAUGACAGGCUGUAUAUCCAGCGGUGGUCCCAUAAGACUACAAAGCAGCUGAAAAUUCCCGUUGCCUAGUGAGGUUGCGGCGUGUAAUGUCACAGUGCAACACGUUAUCACUCGUUUGUGGUGAUGCUGGUGUGAACACACCUAUUACACUGCCAGUCACAUACGAGUGGACAGUAAUGCCCUGGGCCCUCACACUCACCACACACUGACUCUCCCACAGCGACUCCAGUCCCGCAAGCUCCAUUCACGGGAAGUGCUCUAUACACCUGUGUCAUUUUAAAACAUCUUUUAUACCGUAUUUUUACUGUACCCUUUCUAUGAUUAGCUACACACAUAAUUCCACGGUGUCGCAGUUGCUACAUGCUGCACAGGUUUGUAGCCCAGGAGCCCAGGCUCUCCCACAUAGCCUAGGUGUGCUGUAGGUUCUGCCACUUAGAUUUACGUCCGUGCUCUCUAUGAUGUCUGCACAAUGAUGAAAUUGCCUGACAACACAUCUCUUGGAAGUAUCCCUGUCGUAUCCUGGUUGUUAGGUGACACAUGCCUGUACUUCUGUGUGAAUGAGUUUGAGUAAGAUCUCAUCUGCACACACAUUAAGGGCUGGCUAGCCUUAUUAGCAUAAGGAAUGUGGCAGUGGGUUUUCUUUCAUUUAUUUACUGUUUUUGAAUAGGGUCUUGUUUUGUUACCCAGGCUGAGUGCAGUGGCGAGAUCAUGGCUCACUACAGCCUCCAACUUCUGUGCUCAAGCAAUCCUCCUGCCUCAGCCUCCCAAGUAGCUGGGACUACAGCUAUAGUGAUUUUGAUAGGGGGGGAAUUUGUUGGGGGUCACUGAGGCGGGCUGGGGCACACAGACCAGGGCUCCCCACGAGGGCCUCUGAGGCACACAGACCAGGGCUCCACACAAGGGCCCUCUGAGGUACGCAGACCAGGCUGAGGCACAGAGACCAGGGCUCAAGAGCUGCUCUGCCCAGGAUUCCUGUGGCUGCUGUGAACUGAGUGCUCCUGGCCGAGGACCCACAGCUUCUGGGAAGUGUAGGUUGGGGCUCCUGAUCUGCUGGCCCCUCCCUAGGGAUGCAGAGCACACAGGCCCUGGGCCUGGAGUGUUUCCAUCCAUCCACACAUCCUUCUUCCCAUCAGGACACUGGUCCAUCCUCUGUUCAUCUGUCCAUCCUCUCAGAUGUCCUUCAGCACAUUGGUCCAUGCAGAAUAUCUAUGCACCUGUCUCUCCAUCCAUCUGUCCAAUGCUCCAUCAGUCUGUCCAUCAUCCAUCCUCCCAUCUGUCCUCCACCCACCCACCCCCACCAUCCCCC